UAGGGAAUAUUGCAAAAUGGGCGAAAGCCCGAUGCAGCAACGCCGCGUGGGCGAUGAAGGCCUUCGGGUCGUAAAGCCCUUUUUGAGGGGAUGAGGAAGGACAGUACCCUCAGAAUAAGCCUCGGCUAACUACGUGCCAGCAGCCGCGGUAAAACGUAGGAGGCGAGCGUUAUCCGGAUUUACUGGGCGUAAAGCGCGUGCAGGCGGAUUGGAGAGUUGGAUGUGAAAGCUCCCGGCUUAACUGGGAGAGGUCGUUCAAUACUUCCAGUCUUGAGUGCAGUAGAGGGAAGUGGAAUUCCGGGUGUAGUGGUGAAAUGCGUAGAUAUCCGGAGGAACACCAGUGGCGAAAGCGGCUUCCUGGACUGUAACUGACGCUCAGACGCGAGAGCUAGGGUAGCAAACG
rnacentral:rRNA from 1 species